rnacentral:rRNA from 1 species
AUACCGGAUGGCAUAAUUAUUCCGCAUGGGAUAAUUAUUAAAGAAUUUCGGUUGUCGAUGGGGAUGCGUUCCAUUAGGCAGUUGGCGGGGUAACGGCCCACCAAACCUACGAUGGAUAGGGGUUCUGAGAGGAAGGUCCCCCACAUUGGAACUGAGACACGGUCCAAACUCCUACGGGAGGCAGCAGUGAGGAAUAUUGGUCAAUGGACGAGAGUCUGAACCAGCCAAGUAGCGUGAAGGAUGACUGCCCUAUGGGUUGUAAACUUCUUUUAUACGGGAAUAAAGUGAGCCACGUGUGGCUUUUUGUAUGUACCGUAUGAAUAAGGAUCGGCUAACUCCGUGCCAGCAGCCGCGGUAAUACGGAGGAUCCGAGCGUUAUCCGGAUUUAUUGGGUUUAAAGGGAGCGUAGGCGGGUUGUUAAGUCAGUUGUGAAAGUUUGCGGCUCAACCGUAAAAUUGCAGUUGAUACUGGCGACCUUGAGUGCAACAGAGGUAGGCGGAAUUCGUGGUGUAGCGGUGAAAUGCUUAGAUAUCACGAAGAACUCCGAUUGCGAAGGCAGCUUACUAAACCAUAACUGACACUGAAGCACGAAAGCGUGGG